GGGGUUGUGGCUCCGUGGUAGAGCACUCGCCUAGCAUGUGUGAGGCCCUGGGUUCAAUCCUCAGCACCACG
rnacentral:tRNA from 1 species